UGCUCUACCAUUUGGUACUGUCAGCGUUUUGGAUAUUAGCCGUCCUAAUAGGUGCAAUGAAUGUGUCCUGCUCUUACUUGGGAUAAGUUCAAAAAUAAAUGCAAUUGAAAAAAAAUCUCCUGGGGCCGGGCGUGGUGGCUCACGCCUGUAAUCCUAGCACUUUGGGAGGCCGAAGUGGGCAGAUCAUGAGGUCAAGAAAUCGAGACUAUCCUGGCCAACAUGGUGAAACCUCAUCUCUCGUAAAAAUACAAAAAAUUAGCUGAGUAUGGUGGCACAUGUCUGUAAUCCCAGCUACUCGGGAGGCUGAGGCAGGAGAAUGGCUUGAACCCGGGAGGCAGAGGUUGCAGUGAGCCAAGAUCGUGCCACUGCACUCCAGCUUGGGUGACAGGGCUCAGACUCCGUCUAAACAAACAAAAAAAAUCUCCUGGAAGUCCCAUUGGAUCUUGGUUACAUGAGCUUACUAGAGAAUUUUGUUGUUCCCAACAUUAGCUGAGAAAUGUACUCUAAGAAGUGAAUAGACUAAAGUGGAACCAGGGUGCAGUGGAGAACGAGAGCUGUUAUCUAGAAAACCUUUCUCAGGCAUGUUUCAGCACACUCUGCUCCUGACGAUGGCUCUAUCAUCAAAGAAUUCUGUGGUCAGGUGUAUGGGAUAUGCUGCAUAGGCUCCCUAUGAGCCUCCAAAUUGUAAGUUAAAGGCUCUGAGAGUUUGGGAGUAAGUAGAAGACUCCUGGUCACAUUUGUUUAACCCAGUGUUUCCCAAACUCAUUUGGCCUUGGAACUCUAUUUCUUGGGACAUUUAUUAGCUGCUGGUGGAACCAGUGUUCAAAAAAUUACUCCCUAGACAAUUUAGGCAAAACAUCUUUUCUAUAAAUAA
rnacentral:lncRNA from 1 species